rnacentral:snRNA from 1 species
AGAUGUGAAGGUGAUCUGGCUGAGAUAUGUUACCCUUUUGAAUUACCAGGCUUGGUUCGACUGAUCUGGUGGGGUAGGUGACUGCCCCUUCCUUUAUCUCCUCUCUAUGCAUGAGUCCCUAUCAAAGCUGGAUGUUCAGUGGAAGAGUCGGCCGUACCCAGAGAGACACAAGCCGUUCUUUGGUCAAGGGUGUACAAAUAGAUGUGGUCCCCUGCUAGAACCUCCAAAUAAGCUCUCAAUGUCACAGAUAGUCAGUGGAAGAAUCUGCGUUUCAACUCAGAUAAUUUUAUUCAGAGACUUUUCU